GAUAAGAACGUAGCGAAAUGCGAUACUUGGUGUGAAUUGCAGAAUCCCGUGAACCAUCGAGUCUUUGAACGCAAGUUGCGCCCGAAGCCAUUAGGCCGAGGGCACGCCUGCCUGGGCGUCACACGUCGUUGCCCCCCCAUCUACUCCUUCGGGAUUGCGGGGGGCGGAUGAUGGCCUCCCGUGCGCCUCGUCGCGCGGUUGGCAUAAAUGCCAAGUCCUCGGCGACGCACGCCACGACAAUCGGUGGUUGCGAAACCUCGGUUGCCCGUCGUGUGCGGUCGUCGCGCAUCGAGGGCUCGAAAAAAUUGCUGGGCUCUGUUUCGGCUUUCAACGCGACCCCAGGUCAGGCGGGGUUACCCGCUGAAUUUAAGCAUAUCAAUAAGCGGAGGA
rnacentral:misc_RNA from 1 species